AUUGAACGCUGGCGGCAUGCCUAACACAUGCAAGUCGAACGGAGGUAGGGGCAACUCUACUUCAGUGGCGGACGGGUGAGGAAUGCGUCGGAAUCUACCCUAUGGUGGGGGAUAACACAGGGAAACUUGUGCUAAUACCGCAUAAUGUCGAGAGACCAAAGCAGGGGACCGCAAGGCCUUGCGCGAUAGGAUGAGCCGACGCCCGAUUAGCUUGUUGGUAGGGUAAUGGCCUACCAAGGCGACGAUCGGUAGCUGGUCUGAGAGGAUGAUCAGCCACACUGGGACUGAGACACGGCCCAGACUCCUACGGGAGGCAGCAGUGGGGAAUAUUGGACAAUGGGCGCAAGCCUGAUCCAGCAAUGCCGCGUGUGUGAAGAAGGCCUGCGGGUUGUAAAGCACUUUUGUUCGGGAAGAAAUCAUGCUGGUUAAUACCUGGUAUGGAUGACGGUACCGAAAGAAUAAGCACCGGCUAACUUCGUGCCAGCAGCCGCGGUAA
rnacentral:rRNA from 1 species